UACGUAGGAGGCGAGCGUUGUCCGGAAUUACUGGGCGUAAAGAGCGCGUAGGCGGCACUGUACGACCGCUGUGAAAGCCCCCGGCUCAACUGGGGAGGGUCAGUGGUAACGGCAGAGCUUGAGCAAGCUAGGGGGCAAUGGAAUUCCCGGUGUAGUGGUGGAAUGCGUAGAUAUCGGGAGGAACACCAGUGGCGAAGGCGGUUGCCUGGGGCUUUGCUGACGCUGAUGCGCGAAAGCGUGGGGAGCGAUCCGG
rnacentral:rRNA from 1 species